rnacentral:rRNA from 1 species
AUUGAACGCUAGCGGGAUGCUUUACACAUGCAAGUCGAACGGAGUGGCGGACGGGUGAGUAAUAUAUCGGAACGUGCCCAGUAGCGGGGGAUAACUACUCGAAAGAGUGGCUAAUACCGCAUACUCUUGGAGCGGCCGAUGUCGGAUUAGCUAGUUGGUGGGGUAAAGGCUCACCAAGGCAACGAUCCGUAGCUGGUUUGAGAGGACGACCAGCCACACUGGGGGUGAGACACGGCCCAGACUCCUACGGGAGGCAGCAGUGGGGAAUUUUGGACGAUGGGGGAAACCCUGAUCCAGCCAUCCCGCGUGUAUGAUGAAGGCCUUCGGGGUGUAAAGUACUUUAGGCAGAGAGGAGGUAUCUGCAGAAGAAGCACCGGCUAACUCCGUGCCAGCAGCCGCGGUAAUUC